GACAGAGGGGGCAAGCGUUGCUCGGAAUCACUGGGCGUAAAGGGCGCGUAGGCGGGAUGGCAAGUCAGUCGUGAAAUCUCUCGGCUCAACCGAGAAACGUCGGCUGAUACUGCCGUUCUUGAGGGAUGCAGAGGAGACUGGAAUUCCGGGUGUAGUGGUGAAAUGCGUAGAGAUCCGGAGGAACGCCAGAGACGAAGGUGGCUACCUGGCCCUGACCUGACACUGAGGCGCGAAAGCGUGGGGAGCGAACCGG
rnacentral:rRNA from 1 species